UGAGGAACAUGACCUUCGGCGGGGGAUAGCCGGCCCAACGGCCGAGUAAUACCGCGUACGACCACUUUGGGACAUCCCUAGGUGGUGAAAGCAGCAAUGCGCCGAUGGAGUGCCUCGCGGCCUAUCAGCUAGUUGGUGAGGUAACGGCUCACCAAGGCGACGACGGGUAGCUGGUCUGAGAGGAUGGCCAGCCACAUUGGGACUGAGACACGGCCCAGACUCCGUAGGGAGG
rnacentral:rRNA from 1 species